rnacentral:lncRNA from 1 species
GUAUCCUCACCGAGGCCCCGGCCCCUAACCAGAGCCCGUCCACAGGAGCUGGAGGAGGUGCGGCGCUGGGGCGGGGUCCGCGACCUGCACUUGGUGGACCGUGAUGUGCUGCGCUGGAGGGGACUGCUGCUGCCUAACAAUCCCCCCUACAACGCGGGUGCCUUUCGCUUUGAGCUGGCCUUCUCCCCACAUUACCCCCUUGUGCCUCCUCGUGUCACGCUUCUCACCAGCAUCCACCACCCCGGUGUGGGCCCCGACGGCACCGUGUGCCAGCCCCUCACUUCCCCUGAGAGCUGGGAGCCGGUCACUUGCGCCACACACGUGCUGCAGGACCUGCUGCUGCUGCUCGACAACCCCGGCACUGAGCGGGUGCUGCGCCCUGAGCUGGCCCGUGAGCUGAGCGAGAGGCCUGAGGCCUUCCUGCACCAGGCAGAGGAGCACACCCGCCGCUAUGCCGAGCCGCGCCCUGACACCCCUGGACCCUGAUCCCCCACCUCAGAGCCCCCUGCCCUGUACAUAAAACUCCCACUUCAAUCCUGUGACUCCUCUGCGCGAUGCUGUCCCCGCGAGAGAUGAGG